AAAUGUUUCUUCCUCCAUGAAAUUCACAUCUGAUUUAAUGUUACAUGCUAACAGCAUUAGUACUUUUACCAGCUAUCAGUAGCCUGAUCCAUUAAGCCUCGUUCAAUGCACGCUUACUGAAAAAAUAAGCGGCUCAUAACUUUUAAUGUCCACACCAAAUGAAACCGUUAGCAGCACCACCUCAUAAUCCCUGAAAAUAUGAUUUAAUGAACACCUGAACCGAGGUUAGCCUGUUAGUUUAGCUGGUUUGGAGUUGUCGAGAGGGGAACACUGAGCCACUGACGCUUCACUCCUUCAUGUA